rnacentral:rRNA from 1 species
UACGUAGGGGGCAAGCGUUGUCCGGAUUCAUUGGGCGUAAAGAGCGUGUAGGCGGCCAGGUAGGUCGGUUGUGAAAACUGGAGGCUCAACCUUCAGAGGUCGACCGAAACCAUCUGGCUAGAGUCCGGGAGAGGAGAGUGGAAUUCCUGGUGUAGCGGUGAAAUGCGUAGAUAUCUGGAGGAACACCGGUGGCGAAGGCGGCAUCCUGGACCAUUACUGACGCUGAGGCGCGAAAGCUAGGGGAGCAAACGGGG